rnacentral:rRNA from 10 species
UUGACCUCGAAUCAGGUAGGAAUACCCGCUGAACUUAAGCAUAUCAAUA